rnacentral:rRNA from 1 species
GAUGAACGCUGGCGGCGUGCCUAAUACAUGCAAGUCGAGCGAACAGACGAGAGUGCUUGCACUCUCUGACGUUAGCGGCGGACGGGUGAGUAACACGUGGGUAACCUACCUAUAAGACUGGGAUAACUUCGGGAAACCGGAGCUAAUACCGGAUAAUAUUUAGCUUCGCAUGAAGCAAUAGUGAAAGACGGUUCUGCUGUCACUUAUAGAUGGACCCGCGGUGUAUUAGCUAGUUGGUGAGGUAACGGCUCACCAAGGCAACGAUACAUAGCCGACCUGAGAGGGUGAUCGGCCACACUGGGACUGAGACACGGCCCAGACUCCUACGGGAGGCAGCAGUAGGGAGUCUUCCGCAAUGGACGAAAGUCUGACGGAGCAAUGCCGCGUGAGUGAAGAAGGUGUUCGGAUCGUAAAACUCUGUUGUAAGGGAAGAACAAGUACGUUAGUAACUGAACGUACCUUGACGGUACCUGACCAGAAAGCCACGGCUAACUACGUG